rnacentral:rRNA from 1 species
GUACAGAGGUAGCGUAAAACUCCUGGUGGCGAGUGGCGAACGGGUGAGUAAUAUAUCGGAACGUGCCCAGUCGUGGGGGAUAACGCAGCGAAAGCUGUGCUAAUACCGCAUACGAUCUACGGAUGAAAGCGGGGGAUCGCAAGACCUCGCGCGAUUGGAGCGGCUGAUAUCAGAUUAGCUAGUUGGUGGGGUAAAGGCCUACCAAGGCGACGAUCUGUAGCUGGUCUGAGAGGACGACCAGCCACACUGGAACUGAGACACGGUCCAGACUCCUACGGGAGGCAGCAGUGGGGAAUUUUGGACAAUGGGCGCAAGCCUGAUCCAGCAAUGCCGCGUGCAGGAUGAAGGCCUUCGGGUUGUAAACUGCUUUUGUACGGAACGAAAAGGUCUUUCUUAAUACGAGAGAUUUAUGACGGUACCGUAAGAAUAAGCACCGGCUAACUACGUGCCAGCAGCCGCGGUAAUACGUAGGGUGCGAGCGUUAAUCGGAAUUACUGGGCGUAAAGCGUGCGCAGGCGGUUUUGUAAGACAGAUGUGAAAUCCCCGGGCUCAACCUGGGACCUGCAUUUGUGACUGCAAGGCUAGAGUACGGUAGAGGGGGAUGGAAUUCCGCGUGUAGCAGUGAAAUGCGUAGAUAUGCGGAGGAACACCGAUGGCGAAGGCAAUCCCCUGGACCUGUACUGACGCUCAUGCACGAAAGCGUGGUGAGCCAACAGGAUUAGAUACUCUGGUAGUCCACACCCUACACGAUGUCAAC